AGCUGUACCUGCUGGCUUACACCACAGACACAGCAAAGCUAGAUCCAAGUCAAGUCUGCAGUCUACACCAUAGCUCACGGCAACAGCAUAUCCUUAACCCAGUGAAUGAGGCCAGGGAUCAAACCUGCAUCCUCAUGGAUACUAGGUGGAUUCAUUUCCACUGAGCCGUGAUGGGAACUCCAGAAUUUUCUCCCUAAGCUUAUGAGGGCAUUGGUUCCAGGAUCACCCUCCCUGCACCUCCCACUAUAAACAGCAGAUGCUCAAGUCUCUUUCAUUAAAAGAGCUCCUGCGCAUUUCCAUAAAGGACAAGAAACUCGUGUUCCUUCCCAAGGAGGAAAAAGCACCAGUGAAAGUUUCUUCUAAAGGCUUCUCAACUCUUCACCCCCACUGCUCCAUGGGAAGGUUCUGCUAGGAGCAGUUCAAUUCUACCACCUGUGAUGAGGACGCCAAAGAAGGGAUGAACAGUUUUCACCUGUUUUCAGAGCGCUCAUCAGAAUCACAGGCUACUGGUCCAUUGGCCUGAGACCCUGGAAAUCAAAGGUUAGGAUGAAAUCCAAAGGGAACUGAGGAUAUUUAACAUAAUUCAGUGGACAGUUUUGGUUUUAGUCAUUAUUUGCUCUCUAGACGGAAAUUACCUGAAAAAUCCCAACUGUGCACAUGAAAAAGCAAGUUUGAGAAGUUUAAUUCAGAUCCUCAAUGUUUUGAGAGGUUUUGAGGUUUUGUGUGUUUUUUUUGCAAAAACAGACAUGUUUUGUUUUGGCUUCAUAUUAAAAAUUAUUUUUCUCUUAAUCAGAAGUCAAGUAAAUAAGUAUUUUAGUUACCUAUUGCUGCAUAACAAGCCACCCUCAGACUUAGUGGUUUAAAAUAAGGAUUUGUUUUCCUGAUCCUGUGGGUAGGCUGGACCUAGCCUCUGCUCGCUUCCUUUAGGUUCACUCACACAGCUGUGUUCAGUUGGAGACUCAGCUGUGCUUAUAUUUUUUUUCUAAAAGGAUCAGAUACUAGGCUUCUAUGGUCACAUGGCCUCUAUCGGAAAUAUUCAUGUUGGCCAUUAUACCACAAACAGCAAACACAAUUUGUAGACAAGUGUGGCUACAUUCUAAUAAAGCUUUAUUUGUAGACUCUAAAAUUUGCAUUUCAUAUAUUUUAAUGAGUAACAAAAUAUUUUAAUGAGUAACAAAAUAUUCAUCUUCUAAUGAUAUUUUCCAACCAUUAGAAUAGUUAAAACUGUCCUUAGUUCAUAGGCUAUACAAGAAGAGCUGGGCUGGAUUUGGCUCAUGAGCUGUAUUUGCCAACCCGUUUGAAAGGUCCAGGAUGGUUUCACACACUUACCUGGCAGUUGUUGCUGGCCGUUGUCUGGGGCACCUUGGUUUCCCUCCACAAGGCUUUUUAUCCUCAUGGAGGCUGAACCAGCUUCUGUUCAUGGAAGUCUCAGGGCAGGAUUCCAAGUGGGGGAAGACAGAGGCUGAAAGGACUCCUGAGGCCUAGGCUCCAGACCCCAAACAUUAACACUGUUAAAUGUGCUUAGAGUUAAUUCACAGGUGCUGCUCAUACUUAAGGGAUGAGAGAAUAGACUCCACCUCUCAUUGAGAGGAGCUGUAAAACACUGUGGCUGGAGUUCUGUUGUAGCGCAGUGGAAACAAAUCUGUCUAGGAACCAUGAGGUUGUGGGUUCGAUCCCUAGCCUUGUCAGUGAGUUAAGGAUCUGGUGUUGCUGUGAGCUGUGGUAUGGGUCGCGGACAUGGCUCGGAUCUGGUGUGGCUGUGGCUGGCAUCUGUAGCUCUGAUUAGACCCCUAGACUGGGAACCUCCAUAUGUUGCAGGUGCAGCCCUAAAAAGCAAAAAAAAUAAAAAAAUAAAAAAAAAA
ensembl:lncRNA